rnacentral:misc_RNA from 1 species
UACCACCCUUGCCACGUCCUGG